rnacentral:pre_miRNA from 1 species
AGUGGGAUAGCUGGGUCGAAUAGUGGUUCAUUCCAAGUUUUCCAGGGAAUUUUCAUACUGUUUUCCAGAUUGGUUGCACCAAUUUGCAGUCCCACCAGCAGU